UUUUGUUUUCCACAUACGACAGGUGGCGGCGCUUCAUGAGCGUGCCAGAGCGCAUGUGUCAUACCGCAUCCAUAUUGCUUAUUCGCGAAUUGUUCGUGAAACAUGAUCGUCAACCAGUGUGGACACUUCAGCAAAUAGGUUACAGCAAAUUCGUCUACGAGCAACGGACAACGUUGGUAAUAUAUAUCAAGCUAGAUUUACAUUGCUGUUCGCGAAUUAUUCUCAACAAUUCGUAAACUACGUUUCGAACACCGAAGAACACCGUUUUCGAACAAUUUCGUCAAUUAUUUACCGAUGAAUACACGCCUUCAUCAAAGAAUCUCGUUCGCAAAUUCAAAACGUAUUUAAACAUCAACAUUAUUCGCUGCAUGCUAUUGGCUGUUCGCAAGAAUAUCCAUACUAUCGUCGAACAUAAUUUACAAACUGUUGCUUGUGAGCGGCAAUCGUACUAUCACAUUCACGAACACCUCUCAAAACCAAUGUAGACUUAGCAUCAGAACGUGUUGCAUAGCAAUAUAGUCGGUUGCAUUAAAAUACACGAUUUCUACUUCGAUGGAAGGAAUACGCAGGACCAUACAACACGCGGCGUAUAAAACACGCUCGUGUAUCCCUGGCCUAAGGGGUCGUCGCACACAGCGGGUUUCCGCGGUUUUUAAAGGGCAGCGCUUAUUACACAGAUUGGAUUAAAGGUCUGGAGUCUCAUGGACGGUGGAGAGAGAGAAAGAGAGAAAAGCAGGAUAGGAGAAAGGGAGAGAAAGGGGAUAAAAUUGAAGAAGAACGUCGAGAAGAACUUGUUGUUAGAUGAAGAUUGAGAGUUGAAAGAGGGAAGACGUAUGGUCUCGGUUGCAAGUUUAAUGCAGACAUGAAACGCAUUCUAUCGUGUCUGAAUGAUCGGUAGAAAGAUGAUGAUCGAGACGAUGGAAUUGGAGAUAAUUAUUACGGAUCGGAGGAGUUGUUUUGUCUCGGCGCGUAUAUAUGUAACAAUAAAGAGGGAGGCGAAACGCACAGGAGUGAAAUUGUUUUUUGCUAGUCAUGACUUCUAAUAAGGAACAAAAGCCGCCUUUUACAACGGCAUUGA
rnacentral:misc_RNA from 1 species